rnacentral:rRNA from 1 species
CAAGGCACCGACGGGUAGCUGGUCUGAGAGGACGAUCAGCCACACUGGGACUGAGACACGGCCCAGACUCCUACGGGAGGCAGCAGUAGGGAAUCUUGCCCAAUGGGCGCAAGCCUGAGGCAGCAACGCCGCGUGGGGGACGAAGGCCCUCGGGUCGUAAACCCCUUUCAGCAGGGACGAAAUUGACGGUACCUGCAGAAGAAGCCCCGGCCAACUACGUGCCAGCAGCCGCGGUAACACGUAGGGGGCAAGCGUUGUCCGGAUUUAUUGGGCGUAAAGAGCUCGUAGGCGGUUCGGCAAGUCGGGUGUGAAACCCCCAGGCUCAACCUGGGGACGCCACCCGAUACUGCUGUGACUGGAGUCCGGUAGGGGAGCGUGGAAUUCCUGGUGUAGCGGUGAAAUGCGCAGAUAUCAGGAGGAACACCAGCGGCGAAGGCGGCGCUCUGGGCCGGUACUGACGCUGAGGAGCGAAAGCGUGGGUAGCAAACAGGAUUAGAUACCCUGGUAGUCCACGCCGUAAACGUUGGGCACUAGGUGUGGGACCUUAUCAACGGGUUCCGUGCCGCAGCUAACGCAUUAAGUGCCCCGCCUGGGGAGUACGGCCGCAAGGCUAAAACUCAAAGGAAUUGACGGAAUCGAAUU